CGGGGGGGGCAAGCGUUGUUCGGAAUUACUGGGCGUAAAGGGCUCGUAGGUGGCCAACUAAGUCAGACGUGAAAUCCCUCGGCUUAACCGGGGAACUGCAUCUGAUACUGGAUGGCUUGAGUUUGGGAGAGGGACGCGGAAUUCCAGGUGUAGCGGUGAAAUGCGUAGAUAUCUGGAGGAACACCGGUGGCGAAGGCGGCGUCCUGGACCAACACUGACACUGAUGAGCGAAAGCCAGGGGAGCAAACGGGAUUAGAUACCCCGGUAGUCCUGGCCCUAAGCGAUGAAUGCUUGGUGUGGCGGGUAUCGAUCCCUGCCGUGCCGAAGCUAACGCAUUAAGCAUUCCGCCUGGGGAGUACGGUCGCAAGGCUG
rnacentral:rRNA from 1 species